UGGGGAAUAUUGCACAAUGGGCGCAAGCCUGAUGCAGCCAUGCCGCGUGUAUGAAGAAGGCCUUCGGGUUGUAAAGUACUUUCAGCGGGGAGGAAGGUGUUGUGGUUAAUAACCGCAGCAAUUGACGUUACCCGCAGAAGAAGCACCGGCUAACUCCGUGCCAGCAGCCGCGGUAAUACGGAGGGUGCAAGCGUUAAUAGGAAUUACUGGGCGUAAAGCGCACGCAGGCGGUCUGUCAAGUCGGAUGUGAAAUCCCCGGGCUCAACCUGGGAACUGCAUUCGAAACUGGCAGGCUAGAGUCUUGUAGAGGGGGGUAGAAUUCCAGGUGUAGCGGUGAAAUGCGUAGAGAUCUGGAGGAAUACCGGUGGCGAAGGCGGCCCCCUGGACAAAGACUGACGCUCAGGUGCGAAAGCGUGGGGAGCAAACA
rnacentral:rRNA from 1 species